AAGUCGUAACAAGGUUUCCGUAGGUGAACCUGCGGAAGGAUCAUUAAUGAGUUCGGGGGCCUAGCCCCCAGCGGCGAGUGUCGUUCGAGUUCUCCGGGACUCGGCCGGCGGUCGUCGUGUUUCUCAACCCCAUGUUUACCAUACCUUUGUUGCUUUGGCGGGCCUUGAGUAGGCUAUACGGCUCAUGCCGGCCCCAGGCUUUAUUGCCUGGGGGCGGCUCGCGCCCGCCAAAGGUUUAAACCAAAUCCUAUUUAUCAGUGAUGUCUGAGCAAAUAUUAAAUAAUCAAAACUUUCAACAAC
rnacentral:misc_RNA from 1 species